AUGCUAGGGUUAAGUUUGUGGCCUUUGAUCUUCCUCGAGAAACAGAAGAAAUUCCUCCCUCUCUCUCUCUCGAACGACGCUAGUGUAAAUUUCCUCUCUUACGUUUUCCGGCCGCCGCGAAACCAUUGUCUCAAACUCUCCGUAUCUCUCCAUCUCGACAUCAUCUUCUUAGGUUCAGUGAUGAUAGAGAGACAUAUAAAGAUUUCCGGUGAUUCUUCAGAAAGUGUUAAGGGCUGCCUUGGUGACAUUAGUCAGUAG